UGGUUUUGCCAACACAAAUCUUGC
rnacentral:siRNA from 1 species